AUUGAACGCUGGCGGCAGGCCUAACACAUGCAAGUCGAACGAUUGGCGGACGGGUGAGUAAUGUCUGGGAAACUGCCCGUUGGCGGGGGAUAACUACUGGAAACGGUAGUUAAUACCGCAUACCAUCGGAUGUGCCCAGAUGGGAUUGGCUGGUUGGUGGGGUAACGGCUCACCUAGGCGACGAUCCCUAGCUGGUCUGAGAGGAUGACCAGCCACACUGGAACUUAGACACGGUCCAGACACCUACGGGAGGCAGCAGUGGGGAAUAUUGCACAAUGGGCGCAAGCCUGAUGCAGCCAUGCCGCGUGUAUGAAGAAGGCCUUCGGGUUGUAAAGUACUGUCAGCGAGGAGGCGUUACUCGCAGAAGAAGCAUCGGCUAACUCCGUGACAGCCGCCGCGGUAAUAC
rnacentral:rRNA from 1 species